rnacentral:rRNA from 1 species
ACGGCCAUACCAUGCUGAAUAUACCGGUUCUCGUUAGAUCACCGAAGUCAAGCAUCGUUGGGCGCGGUCAGUACUUGGGUGGGUGUCCACCUGGGAACACCGCGUGCC